rnacentral:lncRNA from 1 species
AGAGUAUAGUUACACAUUUUAUGAAAAUAUUGGAUUAUGGGAGAGGCAGGUGGAAGACAAAGAAAGAAUUUUAAGAAAAAUCCACAGAACUAGGUUCAGCCUUAACCAGAAAACUCAUAACUUUUUCAUUUCUUCUUCUGUGUAAGUAGUUUAAAACAAUGGUUUAUUGAACAGCUCAUCUAGAUUUGACUUAACCCAAAAUUUGUGUUCUUCUCUUUUUUUUCCUAAAGAAUUUUAGAUAAGUUUUCUUUUCAAGGGGUAUCUUUAAAUAAUAAGGUAUACUCAAAUAUAGCAAACCCCUUUAAAAGCGUGAAAUAAUUAACUUAAUGCCUGCUUUGCUAGUAAACAAAUCUAGACACAGUUACUUGCAUGUAUCGUCUUGGUAUAUCAAAAUAUGCGAGUUGCUUAAGCUAAAAGAUACUGCUUUAGCUAUUAGAGGAAAUUUUAAUUUCACCUUCUUGCUGAGUGCAGGAUCUAAGACAAUAGGAACAAUUGUUUGAUGUUAAGUGUAACCCCCCCCCAAAAAAAAGAUAUAUGAAUACGAUCACUUUAGUAUGUCAUUUCAAGGAAGUUGUUUGAACAAACUGUUUGCCUCAGUGGAUGGCACAGCUGAAGCGCUGCCUGAGCAGCUCCAGCCUGGGCAAGUCAUCAAGCUUCCCAGGCUUUGCCUCCGGGCUUCAGGAAGACCUCUUGGAGACAAUGCUCUCCAGUCUUUUCAAAGAAAUAGUUAUUGUGAAUGUUGGAAAUUUUACUUUCUGCCAGGUGGUGCAGAUUAUAUGGGUAAAUGCAAAAACAGCUCAAAGGAGGGGGAGAGUGACCCAUGUGCUUUUCAAUAGCUUUUUAGUUAGUCUGCGUAAAUAUUCCAGAUGUCGGUUGAUUUUUGACUUUUAGUCAUGAAUGUGGCUGUUCCAAAGGUUAUUGCAAUAUGUGCAGAUACUCAUUCCAUCAUCCGGGAAAUAUUUACUGAGCACUUACUGUGUGCCAGUUACAGACACUGUGAGGGUAAAUCAGUGAACAGAAACAAUCCUUACUCACAUGAACCACAAAUAAGUAUGGAUAAUGUGUCAGGAUAUAAACAUCUUGUUUAUUCUGUAUAUCUAAAAGAUCUAAUCUUAUUCAAUGAUGUUAUUACCUUUUGGUCUUUCAAAAUGAAAUGAAUUUAAGUAUUCCAGAACAUUUAUUUCACUGUCUAUGAAAAACAUCUAGGUAUAAAUCUGUAUACUAUUUUAGCUUUUGCAUUAUUCUUCCAAGUCUGUUCUCAUUGUUCCUAGCCUAUUUUGUGACAUAGGUAAGUAUUUUAGUAAACAUGCUUGAGAGGUCAUGGUUAAGUAUAUACAUUUUCUGAGAAGAAAUUGCUAAUUAGUUAUAUAAUUAAAAGGCUAAAUCUAUAUGUGUUUACAUGCAUAUUUAUAUAUUAAGUAUAUUAUAUAUAUUCUAGUUAUCAUUAUAUAUAGUAUAAGUAAAUUUUAUUAAUUUGAACCUUACUCUUUUUCAAAUUUAUAGUUCUCAAUAUACUGAUAAGAAUGAUUUAUCUUUGCACUCUAUUUCUAUGUAUAGAUAUGUUUGUUGUUUGAUAAGCAAAUGCUAUAAAUACUUUAAAACUAUUUUAAAUGUGAACAUCCAUUUAUAUUUGAAACAACAUAAGCUUUAACUGACAGUUCUUUGCAAGCCUAAUUUGUCAUAAAAACUCAAUAGAAAUAAAAGUCUAAUAUAUACUUUGUUUAUGAAUCCAUGGUCUCCUUGUCCCUAUUUGUUUAAAUUAGUAAGUCUUUAUAAUGUAAAUAUGUUUAUGCCUAGUGGUAAUCUAUUUCCACAAAACUCAAGUUAGAUUUCUCUGGAUUUAAAUGUAGUCCUUCCUUCCUCUUCAUUUUAAAAGUGCAGAGAGCAAAUAAUCAAUCCAUGACAGUGGUUCUUGGGUGUAUUUAGGUUAACUCUCAUUGAAAAGCUAUGUGAAUAAUAUACAAAAAUCAGUUAUAUUUCUUUUCAUCAGGAACAAACUAAAAUAAAAUUAAAACACCAUUUAAAAUAGCAACAAAACUAUCAAAUACCCCAAAGAUAAAUCUGACGAAAGUUCUGUAAGCUCUCUACACUGCAAAUUAAGUAUUGUUGAGAGAAAUUUAAGACUUAAAUAAGAUGGAGAGAUAUACCAUGGCCAUGCAGAGCAAGACUCAGAAUUAUUAAGGGGCAAUUCUCUCCAAGAUGAUUGAGAAGGUGCAAUGCCGUCCCAAAAUAGAAUCUGAGCAGGAGAGAGAGAGAGAAUGUGUGUGUAUUUGUAAAUUGAUAAUCUAAUUCUAAAAUUUAUAAUGAAUUUUGGGCCUCUACUACACACCAGGCAUAAAAGCCAAUUCCAGAUGGAUUGUAGAUAUAAAUAUGAAAGAUAAAACAAUAAAUAUUUUAGGGCAAAAACAUAGAACAUCUUUAUGACCUUGGAGUGGGCAAAAUGUCCUUAAAAAUUUAUAAGACAACACUAACCAGAAAAGGAAAAAAAUUACCAUUUGGAAAAUAAUAAUACCAAGAACCUCUAUUCAUCAAAAGACAUCAAGAAAAUAAAAAGACAACAUAUAAGGUAAAAGAUAUUUGCAACAAAUACAACAAACAACAUGUACCCAGACUAUAUAAAGAAUUCCUACCAGUUUACAAGACAGACAAGCCAGUAGAAAAAUGAGCUAAGACUUGAACAAAAAGAGGAUAUGCAGGAGUUCCCAUCGUGGCUCAGUGGUAAUGAACCCAACCAGUAUACAUGAGGAUGCAGGUUUGAUCCCUGGCCUCAGUGCGUUAAGGAUCUGGUGUUGCUGCCAGCUGUGGUGUAGGUUGCAGAUACGGAUUGGAUCUGGCGUUGCUGUGGCUGUGGUGUAGACCGGCGGCUACAGCUCUGGUUGGACCCCUAGCCUGAGAACCUCCAUAUGCCACAGGUGCGGCCCUAGAAAAAGGCAAAAAGACCAAAAAAAAAAAAA